GUCAAAACUCACUCACUUCAUCCCCUUCCGGCCUCUUUCUCUCUUGUCUCCGGCGGUUCCGGCUACUGGAGAGUUGCAAGUAUGACCAUGGUGGCGAGAUUGGUGGCCUUCUUCCUUCCUUCUUGGAUCUUCCUUCCUCUCUUCCUCCCCUUCCUUGUCCGAGUGUCAUCAUGGAGAUGGAUGGGCAAAUGGGAAAGGUAGAUUCAGGAUGGUUGGUCCCGACUACUCUUCGAGCUCUGUUUUCCCCCUUCAAGAGCUCGGGCCUCUAGUAUUUUUCUUCCGUCUUUUUUGCUUCCCUGCAUCCAUUACUUCUGCAACUCGUCGGUGCCUUUUCUUCUUUAUCCUGUCCGGCGAGCUUGCUUUUUAAUCUUGGUCGCCUGCGAGAUAGGGCAGGUUAGCUUGAAGCUUGCACAUGUUUUUCUUCUUCCUUUGUUGCAGCUUCAUUGCGUCGGCGACGUGCUUCUCCCUUUCCAUCUGCGUCGGUGCAGGGCGGGCUCCUCUUGUGUCCUUGGUUACUCAUCCACCAAAUUCCUCUUCAACCUCCAUCUUUGGAGGCCCACAAUGUGGUUCCUGGAACUGGUGCUCCAGCCAUUGGGUAAUUGGUGUUGCCCUUUCUCAGUUUAGGUGUUCAUUUGCCUGAUCUAGGGGCUUUUCUUCCUCCAUUGUCGCUUGUUAAUCUUCCCUAUGUGAUGGGGCAGUGGAGAUAUCGCAUGACAACGCAUGGGCUUCCUCAAGAUCUCCAGCGUUGUUGGUGCUCUAUUCCUCCAGCUCCGGUUCUUGCGGCGUUCUUGGAGGUAUUUGGUCUGGUGACUGCUCCUUCUUGCCAGUGGCGGAGCUUCGUCCGUGACGGCUUGUCUACCUCUGGCCGAUGUUGGAGUAUGCGCUCGGACGCGUGGGCACCUUGGUGAAGCUUCAUAUGAACACGUGAAUGCAUGUGUUCUUUCUAGUGAUACGUGUCCUUUCGCGUGUCUUUCUCCUGUGUGAGUAUAUGGACACGUGGUCUAGGGGUGUUCCUUUCUACUACGUUGUAUCUUGUGCUGUACGGUGUACCCCGUGUUGUAUCUGUUGUGUGGCCUCUGGCCACUUGAGUUAAUGGAAUCCAGGUUGUUUGCCCAAAAAA